AGAGCAAAGAUACCCUCAGGAGGAGGAUGUUUAGGCUAGAGGGGAAAAGAAAAAAUCAGCCAUGUUUGCAAAAUGAUGCAAAAAGAGUAGCAAAGAAAAAAAAACGUACACUCCAACUCAGUCCCCAUCUCACUCCAAAACGUCCUCAUCAUCUGAUCAAGAGCCUCCAGUCAAACAUCAAGUAAUACCUACAUCUUUUAAAUGGCUACUCUUAUUUUUCAUUAUGCUUAUUUAAAUCACAAAUAUUAAUGACACCGAUAUGACACUAAUGACACUAAUAUUGUGUGUCCAUCUUUAGGUCAUCCACCGAAAGGACAGUAUGUUAAUGCAAGAGAUUAACAGCAUGGAGAGUCAAGCUGGAGAGCAUUCAAGCCGAGAAACUCAACUUGAGAGAGAAAUUCUCAAAUUAAAAAAAGAAAAUGAGAAUCUAAGAGCACUUAAUAUAGCUCUGCAACAAGAAAUUCUUCCAAUGCUCAAGUGCAGCAUGAACCAGGACACUCUUGUUGCUCAACAACCACAAGUUGCUCAACAACCACAAGAUUCAAGUCAGAAGAAUCCCCCUGAAAAGGUGAAUACAAAUAUAUUAGUUUGUUUAAAUAGCCUAUAUUCACGUAAAGUGUUGUGCAGAAGUCGUAGAAGGCAUGUUAACUUCUUCAUGUUUCAUUUUACAUUUGGAACAAAAUACACAUUUGGUAAGAUCACCCCCUUGACUAUGAAACAGCUGGCACACUAAACCAAAAUAUAUCACUUUUAUGUUGAAGAAUCUAACAAGCCUAACACUUUUGCACAGUAUGUAGUCAAAGUUAUAUGCUUUUAGAUACAGUGUCCCUAACCUUUUUCUUGACAGACACGGGCUAGGAAUUAGUUCAGCUGUCCUGACAAGUUGUGGACGGGGGGGGCACAUCAUGUUCUGCCAUGGUGAAAGAUCUGGCAGUGGCAGUGUUUGGGAGAGAGACACUGGCCACACAUGGGCUGUCUGGAAGGGCUGGCAAUGCUAACACAGGCGCUUUGGCAAAGCCAGCUCUUGACCAGGACAAAGUUGUGCUGAUCCUAGGUGAGAAAAAUGUCCUGCUUUUUUUCUUUACGCAAACAUGAUGUUGCAGUUAUAGUGCAAAAUUGUAAUAAUGUUAUCACAUAUGAUAAGUGGAAUUGCUUUUACAAAAACAGUACAAAAAAAGUUCCCUGAUGUUCCAAAAAAGUUCAUCAGGGCAACACUAAGAGAAAAGUUAAAUGAUAAGCACAAGUUACGAGUAAGGUAAUAAUUUGUCAUACACACAACACACUCGCUCAUGCGCUUUCUCUCUCUCUCUCACCUCACACACCCUCAUGCUCUCUCACACACAAACACAUACUCAUGCUCUCCCGCUCUCUCUCUCUCUCUCUCUCUCACACACACACACACACAGACACGUUAAUGAUCUCUCUUUCUCUAUCUCUCACACACACACACACACACACACACACAUACACACACACACACACACACACACACACACACACACACAAACAAAUUUUUAAAUUUCUCUUUUUUUCUUGUUUUUCAGGAAAACAGUGUAGAGGCUUCAUUUGGCUGUGAAUUGGUCUCUGCUUCGCUCUGCUCUUACAGUUUCAAUAAAUACAAUAAAUAAUUUGUGAAAAUACAUUGUUUGUUGUGAAGUUAUUCCCCCUGCAUUAAUCCUACAGAAGACAUAAGAAGACCUGUAUAAUUGCAUAUACAGGUCCUUCUCAAAAAAUUAGCAUAUUGUGAUAAAAGUUCAUUAUUUUCCAUAAUGUAAUGAUAAAAAUUAAACUUUCAUAUAUUUUAGAUUCAUUGCACACCAACUGAAAUAUUUCAGGUCUUUUUAUUGUUUUUAAUACUGAUGAUUUUUGGCAUACAGCUCAUGAAAACCCAAAAAUUCCUAUCUCAAAAAAUGAGCAUAUCAUGAAAAGGUUCUCUAAACGAGCUAUUAACCUAAUCAUCUGAAUCAACUAAUUAACUCUAAACACCUGCAAAAGAUUCCUGAGGCUUUUAAAAACUCCCAGCCUGGUUCAUUACUCAAAACCGCAAUCAUGGGUAAGACUGCCGACCUGACUGCUGUCCAGAAGGCCAUCAUUGACACCCUCAAGCGAGAGGGUAAGACACAGAAAGAAAUUUCUGAACGAAUAGGCUGUUCCCAGAGUGCUGUAUCAAGGCACCUCAGUGGGAAGUCUGUGGGAAGGAAAAAGUGUGGCAAAAAACGCUGCACAACGAGAAGAGGUGACCGGACCCUGAGGAAGAUUGUGGAGAAGGACCGAUUCCAGACCUUGGGGGACCUGCGGAAGCAGUGGACUGAGUCUGGAGUAGAAACAUCCAGAGCCACCGUGCACAGGCGUGUGCUUUUGAACCAGAAACAGCGGCAGAAGCGCCUGACCUGGGCUACAGAGAAGCAGCACUGGACUGUUGCUCAGUGGUCCAAAGUACUUUUUUUCGGAUGAAAGCAAAUUUUUGCAUGUCAUUCGGAAAUCAAGGUGCCAGAGUCUGGAGGAAGACUGGGGAGAAGGAAAUGCCAAAAUGCCUGAAGUCCAGUGUCAAGUACCCACAGUCAGUGAUGGUCUGGGGUGCCAUGUCAGCUGCUGGUGUUGGUCCACUGUGUUUUAUCAAGGGCAGGGUCAAUGCAGCUAGCUAUCAGGAGAUUUUGGAGCACUUCAUGCUUCCAUCUGCUGAAAAAGCUUUAUGGAGAUGAAGAUUUCGUUUUUCAGCACGACCUGGCACCUGCUCACAGUGCCAAAAACCACUGGUAAAUGGUUUACUGACCAUGGUAUUACUGUGCUCAAUUGGCCUGCCAACUCUCCUGACCUGAAACCCAUAGAGAAUCUGUGGGAUAUUGUGAAGAGAAAGUUGAGAGACGCAAGACCCAACACUCUGGAUGAGCUUAAGGCCGCUAUCGAAGCAUCCUGGGCCUCCAUAACACCUCAGCAGUGCCACAGGCUGAUUGCCUCCAUGCCACGCCGCAUUGAAGCAGUCAUUUCUGCAAAAGGAUUCCCGACCAAGUAUUGAGUGCAUAACUGAACAUAAUUAUUUGAAGGUUGACUUUUUUUGUAUGAAAAACACUUUUCUUUUAUUGGUCGGAUGAAAUAUGCUAAUUUUUUGAGAUUUAAGUUUAAGAGUUUUUGAGUUUAAUUUUUUUCAUUACAUUAUGGAAAAUAAUGAACUUUUAUCACAAUAUGCUAAUUUUUUGAGAAGGACCUGUAUAUCCACAACAGUCCUGCAGGAACUUUGAAUUUUAUAUUUUAAAACCCUGCAGGGAUAUAAUUCCUGCAGGUAUUCCUCCAGGAAAAUGAGCUGAAAAUCCUGUAGGAAAUCCUGUAGGAAAUCUGCAUAAUAUUCCUGCAGGAUUCCUGUAGGUUAUUUUUGUAAGGGUCCUGAGAGAAAAGUAUAAGUAGGCGUACAUUUUACUGUUUUUUUUCCAAAUAUAAUCAUAUGCUUCAGUAACAAAUAUCCUUAAAUGUAAAAUUUACUUAAAAUAUGCCUUGAUGAACGAAACCAUAAAAUAUUUUAAUCCUAAGAGGAUAAUGGAAGUUUCUGCUGUGAAUGUGACUACUAAAUAUAUACGUGCUUCAAAGUAGCUAACACUACUGUUUAUAUGUAAUAAUAUGAAAGAUAAUAAGCAAAAGAAAUGUAAUAACUUAAUACUGAUCUUCAUUAUAUUAUGUGCAGGAAAAAAACACAAACUUCUGCGGAGAGUAAUGUUCGCAUACUAGAUUAAAUCACUCUCUGUUUAAUAUAGGAAAACAUGAAACAGGUCAAUGUAUUAUUUGUAAUCAGGCAGAAACAAUAGAGCAUGUUUUCAUAAAAUGUAAAAAAUAUGA
ensembl:lncRNA